rnacentral:misc_RNA from 1 species
CAGGCCAUUUUCUUCAGAUAGUGGUAUGGCAUUGGCUAGUUGUAGUGAAUUUUCUUUGUGUAUUCACACAUAUGUAUGCGAGUUGUUGUAUUUGUCUUAGUACCUCACUCCUAUGUAUGCGUGUGGGGAGGAUGCUGGCAUCAACCUUGGCUGUUGUUUUUGUUUUUGAAUCCUUAUGUACUUUGUGAUUGUAAAUCCAUUACUUUUAUAUGAUAUCAACUCUAUAGUACUUGUUGGGCCACUUCUAUGUAGUGUAGUACUUCCUUGAUGAAGCUAGUUCCAUCUAGUUCCAACAUAAGCUAUUCUUUAUGCUGCUUUUGGGAAGUGUGGUCACAGGGUGUUGCAUCUAGUAUGGUUUGAGUCAAGAGGAUCAAUUGUAGUACUGAGUUUUCAUUGUAUCUUGUAGUGUUCCAUUGACAAUUUACUUCGUGAUUCAUAAAUUCAUUACUUCGUUAUCUAGGAUAUGAUUGUAGCACUUCACUGAGUCGUUGCAAAGUAGCCUACUAGAACUUCCUUGGUGAGGCUAUUUCGUUUUAAUUCUAACAUGUGCAAUUCUUUAAGAAGCUUUUUUGGAAAGAGUAUUUUAACAAUAAGGGCAUUGUUUAUGGUGAGGUUUCAAUCAAGUGGAUGAAUCAUCUUUUGGUAGUGAUUGUUACCAUUAUUAUGGUUGAAUACUUGGUUAACUGCACUCUUACAAGUUACAACAUCCUGGAUAUGGCGGGGGUGGAUGGUUUACUGCCACUUUGUUGAUACAUCAUUGAAGAAGCAAUUAGCUUUUUUAGUUCUUUGAGGGAAUAGUCUGGUGGUUGAACCUAAUGACUUCCAGUUGCUUGAAAAGGAAGCUAUUGGCUUUUGAAGGAACCUGCAGCUGUUUCAUUUUACAGUUUUAUUUUAUCUCACAGUUUGAUGAUGAUUUCAUAUUGUGUAUCUGAUGCAGGGGAUUCAGUUGAUGUUGUUGUCCCUUUUAUG